AGCGAACGCUGGCGGCAGGCCUAACACAUGCAAGUCGAGCGCCGUAGCAAUACGGAGCGGCAGACGGGAGAGUAACACGUGGGAACGUACCCUUUGGUUCGGAACAACCCAGGGAAACUUGGGCUAAUACCGGAUAAGCCCUCACGGGGAAAGAUUCAUCGCCGAAGGAUCGGCCCGCGUCUGAUUAGCUAGUUGGUGGGGUAAUGGCCCACCAAGGCGACGAUCAGUAGCUGGUCUGAGAGGAUGAUCAGCCUCACUGGGACUGAGACACGGCCCAGACUCCUACGGGAGGCAGCAGUGGGGAAUAUUGGACAAUGGGCGCUAGCUUGAUCCAGCCAUGCCGCGUGGGUGAUGAAGGCCCUAGGGUUGUAAAGCCCUUUCGGCGGGGAAGAUAAUGACGGUACCCGCAGAAGAAGCCCCGGCUAACUUCGUGCCAGCCGCCGCAGUAAAAC
rnacentral:rRNA from 1 species